rnacentral:siRNA from 1 species
CACUUCUGCAGCUUGCUGUUGUUC